rnacentral:lncRNA from 1 species
CGGGUACAGGUGCUUGGGGAUGUUACCGUCGAUGCCGAAGACGACGAUCCAGGCGGGCUCGAUCUUGGGCUAUGGCAGCCGGCGAACCCAUGACUAGACACGCUCUUCAUAGAGGAGGCCUAACUGGUUUUCUGGAAUUUAUUCCACAAUUAAAAAUAAAACUGACUAUAUAGUCAAGUUUAUGUGAAACGUCCCUGAAAAAAAAACUUCAUGUGAAACGACUGAAACGACCAACUAUCAGUUCGGAGAGAAUCGCGCGCAGAGUACUGCAGGCACCUUUUAGCAAUUGAAAAAAAAAACAAGUACUAGUAUAUUAAUAUACACCGUCGAUAACGAUGACC